GCAGCAGUGGAGCAGUUCUGGGAGGAGUGAAGAGCCUGCUUGUUCCUGUUGGUUCAGUAUGGUUUUACAAGGAGGACUGGGACCCUUAAGGACCUUAGAGAUUGAAGACUAACAGCAGAUGGAAAAGGAAUGAGCAGCCUGUGCAGAAGCUGGGCUCUACACAUUUCAUGCUAGUGCAUCCCCAGGGCCUCGGCCAGAGCUGCUCUGGGUUUCCAUCAGCGUGCAUGAGGAGAAGCAGGGACUGUCACAAGAGAUGACAGGGGGUCAAUUCCCAUAUUUCCGUCCGGCUUUGAAACUGCGUCUGUGACUGAUCUGAAUGUAGUUAACCAAGAUUUAAACUGGAGAAGGAGAAGGGAGAAUUGAGCACAACAAGAUGAAUGCUCGAAUGAAAAAAGGCCACUGGCAAAGGAGACACAGUGCAAGGAGGAAAAGGCCUCUGUGAUUCUAUCUUUGCAGGUCCCUCAGGCAACUUAACCGUAAACAGUCUCUUCAAAAAAUGUGAAUAUUAUGCGCCUUUCUGACAGUUUUUUUUUUCCCAAUUUUCAUCUGCCUUUACAAGUAGCUGAAGAUGAUAAAUAUUUAAUGACUUAUUUCAAUAUUUUAAUGUAGGUUUCUUGGUUAAAACACCACAAAUCUCUUCUUUAAAGGGCAACAAUAGGAUUAUAUAGUAAUGA